AAGAGAAAAGAAAAUACAAGAAAACAGACAGAAGAUCCUAUCUGCGACAAUUAAGAGCACUCUAAGAGGAAAACACAUCCCACCACAUAUAUUUCAGAGACUACAACACAUUUAUUUUCCAUGAGGAUUUAUCAGUUGUAUUCCAGUCAUGUUGGUGGAUGAGCUCAAUAUCCCUGAAGGAGUUCUGCUUACACAUGGAGGACCAGUUGCUUCUCAAAUAUUCUGCAAGGCAAGGUACUUCUAUGGAAGGGUGAGCCCUCACAGAUGGAGCAAUGGGGCGCGCACACCUGAACAAGGGAGGGGAAGGAGUUCUUAUCCCUGAUGCAUGUGACCCCUGCUGCUGUGUCCUUCCCCUAUUGGCUAAGGCUUCUGACAGCUUUGGAGAUUGUGACAUUGGAAUAAAGGAAAAACGUACAGGACUCAUGAAGCGCUGAAAUGUUCACAAAUAUCAAGCAAAAGUCAAUGAAAUUUAUUUUGAGCUAUUUACAUCAUUUAAUAAUUGAGCAAGGUAUACUCCUAUGAACAAAAUUUGGAGCAUGUUUGUCUCUCUCUGCCUGGCGUCUUCAGAAUUUGGAAACUAGUUAGUCAUGGAAAUUUAUUUUGAGCUAUUUACAGCAUUUAAUAAUUGAGCAAGGUAUACUCCUAUGAACAAAAUUUGGAGCAUGUUUGUCUCUCUCUGUCUGCCUGGCAUCUACAGAAUUUGGAAACUAGUUUCGUUCCCAGAUUUCCUAAACUUUCCAGAGAAAAUGGUCUUCUCCCUGGCUCAGCAAGAAGAUGAACUUUAAACACUGAGAAACUGGUCAUCUCCCUGGCUCAACCAGAAGAUGAACUUUAAACACUACUCUCAAUGACUUGAUGUUCCCAUCACUACUCCUGUCAUAAAGGGAGGGGACUCAGAUAUUGAGAAUUUUAUGAUAGUGUGAACUGUCUGGUAUGUCAUUUAAGUAAGCCCGUUGCUGAAAUAUUUUCCAUGUUAUUAGAAAGAGCUGAAGAGAGGGAUUGAGAUGGCUUCUUUAUUUUUUGUCUUUUGGGAAUUAAAGGAACCUGGUUCAACAAGGGCCUACACCUAAGUCUCUUGUUGUACCAGAGUACAAUUUAGGACUGCUCCUGAGGAAGGAAUUAGCUAGAAAUCUAGAGAGUAAGGGUAACAGAUUUACAUAGAAUAACAGCCUCAGUAUUUUUGGUUCCUCUCCAGUAAAGAUCACAAAGAAUAUUGCUAAAUCGCUAAAACACCUUUGCAAUAACGUAAGGGCUUACAACUAUAUACCAAUGUAGCUCAGUUACUAAACUGGAGUAAACUAAUUUCUCUUGUGUAGAAAAAUUGGUUGGCUGUGGUUUUAUAGCAGAUCUGCAAUUAUUAAUAGUUAUGCCAAUAAUCGUUUAACAGUGCAUAUGUUAAUAUAUAUGGAAAGACAAUGUGUAUAGACAGAUGUGUAAAAUUGAAAAAUAAACAUAUAACAAGAGAGAAA
ensembl:lncRNA LINC00320 long intergenic non-protein coding RNA 320